GAUGAAGAACGCAGCGAAAUGCGAUAAGUAAUGUGAAUUGUAGAAUUCAGUGAAUCAUCGAAUCUUUGAACGCACAUUGCGCCCCCUGGUAUUCCGGGGGGCAUGCCUGUCCGAGCGUCAUUGCUGCCCUCAAGCACGGCUUGUGUGUUGGGCCUCCGUCCUCCUCCCGGGGGACGGGCCCGAAAGGCAGCGGCGGCACCGCGUCCGGUCCUCGAGCGUAUGGGGCUUCGUCACCCGCUCUUGUAGGCCCGGCCGGCGCUUGCCGACACAUCAAUCUUUUUUCCAGGUUGACCUCGGAUCAGGUAGGGAUACCCGCUGAACUUAAGCAUAUCAAUAAGCGGAGGA
rnacentral:misc_RNA from 1 species